GUGGGGAAUAUUGCACAAUGGGCGCAAGCCUGACGCAGCCAUGCCGCGUGCAGGAAGAAGGCGCUACGCGUUGUAAACUGCUUUUAACCGGGAAGAAACCCCAGGACGUGUCCUGGGUUGACGGUACCGGAGGAAUAAGCACCGGCUAACUUCGUGCCAGCAGCCGCGGUAAUACGAAGGGUGCAAGCGUUAUCCGGAUUCAUUGGGUUUAAAGGGUGCGUAGGCGGAGCGUUAAGUCAGUGGUGAAAUCCUGCAGCUUAACUGUAGACUUGCCAUUGAUACUGGCGCUCUUGAGUGCGCUUGAAGUGGGCGGAAUGUGCCGUGUAGCGGUGAAAUGCUUAGAUAUGGCACAGAACACCAAUUGCGAAGGCAGCUCACUAAGGCGAUACUGACGCUGAGGCACGAAAGCGUGGGGAUCGAACAGGAUUAGAUACCCUGGUAAUCC
rnacentral:rRNA from 1 species